rnacentral:rRNA from 1 species
AGAGUUUGAUCAUGGCUCAGGACGAACGCUGGCGGCGUGCCUAACACAUGCAAGUCGAGCGAGAAAGUCUCCUUCGGGAGGCGAGUAAAGCGGCGAACGGGUGAGUAACACGUGAGCGAUCUACCCGGCGGCGGGGGAUAACUCAGGGAAACCUGAGCUAAUACCGCAUACAGCACUGGCUUGGAAGCCGGAUGUGAAAGUUGGCCUCUCGAAGAAGCUGACACCGUCGGAUGAGCUCGCGGCCUAUCAGCUAGUUGGUGGGGUAACGGCCUACCAAGGCGAUGACGGGUAGCUGGCGUGAGAGCGUGGCCAGCCACACUGGGACUGAGACACGGCCCAGACUCCUACGGGAGGCAGCAGUGGGGAAUAUUGCGCAAUGGGCGAAAGCCUGACGCAGCGACGCCGCGUGGGGGAGGAAGGCCCCAGGGUUGUAAACCCCUGUCAGGUGGGACGAACCACGGAUCGGUCAAUACCCGGUCCGCCUGACGGUACCACCAGAGGAAGCUCCGGCUAACUCCGUGCCAGCAGCCGCGGUAAUACGGAGGGAGCGAGCGUUGUUCGGAAUCACUGGGCGUAAAGGGCGCGUAGGCGGUCGGGUAAGUCGGGUGUGAAAUUCCGGGGCUCAACCCCGCGAACUGCAUCCGAUACUGCUCGACUCGAGAGAGGUAGGGGCGAGUAGAAUUCCCGGUGUAGCGGUGGAAUGCGUAGAUAUCGGGAAGAACACCGGUGGCGAAGGCGGCUCGCUGGGCCUCAUCUGACGCUGAAGCGCGAAAGCGUGGGGAGCAAACAGGAUUAGAUACCCUGGUAGUCCACGCCGUAAACGAUGGGUACUAGGUGUUGGGAGGAUUGACCCUUUCAGUGCCGACGCUAACGCAUUAAGUACCCCGCCUGGGGAGUACGGCCGCAAGGCUGAAACUCAAAGGAAUUGACGGGGGCCCGCACAAGCGGUGGAGCAUGUGGUUCAAUUCGAAGCAACGCGAAGAACCUUACCUGGGCUUGACAUGUUGGUAGUACUUCCCUGGAAACAGGGGGGGACCCUUCGGGGAGCCAUCACAGGUGCUGCAUGGCUGUCGUC